rnacentral:lncRNA from 1 species
UUUUUUUUUUUUCCAUUGAGUCAGUCUUUUAGAAUGAUACAUUUUCCUAGAUUAAUUACUACAUCUUUGGAUAAUAUUCUUUGCUGGAGAACAAGAAAAUGAUUGAUUAAAACUGGCUCCAUGUGCACAACAGAAAUGAGCCUAUAUCGAUGAUAAAAAACCUAUUGUAGUUGAUGUUUUGGUAGACAGUAAGGCACACAAAAUAUUUUUUUCUGAAUAGAAUGCUCUCACAAAGUAAGAGCUAGAUGCAUUUGUAAUUUUUUCUCUCUUCAGCUGACUUUGUUCCUACUUGUUUUACUGGUUUUUGUUUUUCUCUGUAUUCAGAAUGGACUGACAUGCAUAGCAAACCCUUCAAGGACUACCUAAAUAGCAGGAAAAUGCAGGGUUACAUGACUGAUGAAUACUUAGUGAUUAGACCUAAAUACAAGUCACCCUAAGUAUUCUUGGAUAUUUUUAUAGUGUCUUUCCCCUACUGACCAGUCAAAUCAAUUCUGGACUACCUAAUAUGGUGGUAUUAUCGACAUAAUGGUCUAUCAUCAACUGAUUUUAUACUGUUGCUUCAUUCAAUACAUCCCAUUUUAACUAAACCAUGCUCUUUUCCUAGACCUACUGAUCUCUCCUGGUAGGUUCACUGUUUUUCUUCCCUCAUGUUUUGAUUUUUUCACUCCUACUCCUAAAUCCCUGGCAGGAGGCAGCUCCCAAGAGUCAAUUUUCAGCCAUAACUCAUCCUUCAUCUGUGUUCCCUCCCACAAAAGCUAUUCCAUUCUUACAACCUCAAGUGUUAUCUGUGUCCCUCUGGAAUUUCAGGUGAGAAACCAUGAAGCCUUGCUGGACAUCUUUUUUUCACACUCACUCACAUGUGAAAUUCUAAGGUUUCCCCGGUGAGCUCUUCACAACAUCAUUGUGACCUUGUUCUUUCCAUUCUCCCCACUCUAGGUAUCAUAACUCCAUACAGUGCUGCCAUCUAAAACUCAAAAUAUACCAGAAAUUCCAAAAUUUCAGAGUUUAAACUACAUCUCUCAAUUUGUGUCUCACACCUAAAUUAUCAACAAUUAUCACCAUUUUAACAUUGCAUGAAAAAUGCAAUAUAUGUGGAUCAAAAGGCAUGUCCAACCCAGAGGCAAAGCCCAUGAGUGGACAAGGUAGGCGGCAGGAAGCUACAGAGAUAGGAUUUUUGGCAAGAUCUUGAGAUGUGGAGAAUACCGUCACUGGAAUACCCAUCCUUCGGAUUUACAGAAUGGAUUGGAUAUUUAUUGACAAGUGUAAAAGCCAGACUACCACAGAGGAAUCUACACAGAAUACAAUGAGGCCUGGAGAUAAUGUUUGAUAAUCAUGUUCUCAUUAUUGAUUCAUAUGAUUCAUUGUUCUACUAAGAUUAAUUUCAAAGGUUGCUACCCCAGACUCCUUCUAAUUGCUCUGCUGUUCCAUCCCAGUAACCUACUUUUAUCCACCUCCCCAUUCACAAGGAAUGUCCCUAUUCCCUACCACACCCCCCCCCCUUUUCUUUUGAAAUGACAAGCUUGAUUUUUACAUCUUCUCAAAACCUGUGUCAGGUCUUAACCUCCUCCAGGAUGGUUUCACAGAAGCAAUAGAGCAAAGAAGUUAUAAGCUAGAGCUGUGUAGCAGAAUGCCUGGGUUCAAAAGUUGUCCACCCUCAUGUUCUACAGUGUAGUGUUGGGCAAAUUGUUGGACUUCUCUGAGUUUCUAACUUUUUAUCUGUUAAAAAAAAUGUGGCAAAGAUAGAGGGGUACAAAGAGUACCAAUUCCAAGGGUUACUACAAAUAUUCAAUGAGAUAAUCCAUGUGAAAAGCUGAGCACGGAGCCAGGCACAGAAUAUAUAAACUAUUAAGCUAGAUAUCAUCAUUAGUAUCAUUAUUUUUCUCCUUAUCCCUGAGAGUUUUUCUUCUUUUCUGAAUUGCUGUAAUACAUCAAAAUUUUGAAGUAUUCUGGAACUUCCUAAUUCAAAAUCAGGUAGGCUGAUAAUUCAUUGUGUACACAUAUCUUGCUCUGCCAGUGAGUUUAAGUUUUAAGGGCAGAAACCAUGUCCUCAAUUCUUUGUUGUUCCUCCUAAUGAUUACAUUAUUAGUGCUGUUAGUGACAAUAGUCAUGAAGCGGAGUACUUAUCAUUUUUAACACAGUGGAUGCAGGGGGUCAUUUUAACAUUGCCAGAAAGGGGUUACCAUCUACUUUUUAGGGGUAAGGAAACAAAAGCAGAAUAGGUUAUUAAACAGAGAGCAAUGCACAAAACACGUGCUUUCAUGCUUUCAAAAUUCACUUCUAUAACCUAGCCAGAGCCAACGACAUAAUAGAAUGAUCUAAAAUGCAACCCAUCACUAAACAUUGUUUAACAGCUUGUUUUGUGAUAGCACUGCACGAGGUACUACUGCCAUAAAGAUAAGCAGAACCUGGUUCCUAACCUUGAAGGGCUUAUGGUUUUAAGUGGCAAAGCAAGAAAAAUUAAGCAAACAACAAGCAUAUUUGAUUAUUACAUUAGAUCCCUGAUGCUCUGAAAACACAGAAGAACAGCAUUUGGGGAGGUAAAUGGACAUUCACAAAGCUUUCUGGGCAGAAGGAAGAAAUAUACAGAGGUGUGGGAUAGGGUGGGAAGGGCAUAGUAUGCCACUUAGGGAAGCACAAAAAGAGUCCAGAUAAAUGUCUGGGGGAGGUGACAAAUGUCAGUGGUGACAACUCAUUAGUGAUGAGAAAGCACACAAGGGUUUUAAGCAGUUGGGAAGGGGUGGGCCUGCAUGAAUGGAGAAGGCAACAGCAUGAUCAGAUUUGAAUCUAGAACCAAGUACUUCAGAAGUCAUUUGGAAGACAGAUUGCAAAGAGCAACUUUGGAGUCUAUAUUAGUAUAAGAGAGAAAUGAUAAUGACCUAAACCAAGAUACUGGUAGGGGGAAUUAAAAUAGGGGGAAAGGUGAGAGAUUUUUAAAUUUAAAUUCCAUUUAGUUAACACAUAUCGUCUUACUAGCUUUAGUCGUAGAAUUUGGUGAUCAUCAGUUGCUCAUAAUGUCCAGUGCUCAUUACAUCAAGUGCCCUUCUUACUGCCCAUUACCCAGUUGCCCCAUCCGCUGACCCACUUCCCCUCCAGCAACCCUCAGUUUGUUCCCUAGAGUUAAGAGUUUCUUAAGGUUUGCCUCCCUCUCUGCUCUGUUUUUAUCUUAUUUUUCCUUCCUUUCCCCUGUGUUUAUCUAUUUUGUUUCUUAAAUUCCACAUACGAGUGAAAUCACAUGGUAUUUGUCUUUCUCUGACUUAUUUUGCUUAGCAUAAUACCCUCAGUUCCACUCAUGUCAAAAUGAUUUCAUUCUUUUGAUGGCUCUGUAAUAUUCCACUGUACGUGUAUACUACAACUUCUUUAUCCAUUCAUAAAGAGAAAUUUAAAGAUAUAAACAACUAUGAAUUAUGAUGGAUAAAUCUAGAAAGAGGCCAAAUAAUUAUCUUGGAAUAUUCUGCUUUCAUCCAUAGAUUAUAUCUCUAAUUUUGCGGCUAUUAUGAAAUAAAGUAUUAAUAGAAAAAAAUUCUUGAACAACUCAAGAAAGCCAACUGCCACACAUGACUAUUACCUCUUAACUUUGCUUCUUAAAAUAAUAACAAAGCUUAUCCAGGACUCUAGAAC